GGAUAUGAAGUAGUUUCUCAUUGUGCUUUUGAUUUCCAUUUCCCUGAUGACUAAUAAUGGAUAUAUUCUUCAUGAAAAAAGGGAUGUUCUUUGCCUUACUGCUGUAUCCCAGUACCCAGAAGAGUGCCUUGCCCACAGAAGGCAUUUAGUAAAUAUAUGGUGACUAAAUGAAAUAGAAAGAGGGACUAGAAGAAGAGGGACUAGUUAUUAGAAUAAUUUCAAUAUUAGAAGAUCUAGAUACAGAUGAUAGUAGUGUAAAUGGAAGGAACAAACAAAAAUUGCAAAGAAAGAAUAAUUUUUAAUAUAUUAGAAGGGACAGAAUGAGGCAAGCAACAGGAUAGUUUCAUGAUUUCCAAAAUGGUGAUUGAAGCAGUGACAGUUUCAUUAUUAAGAGUGUCUGCAUUCAUCUCCUUUUACAACUUUUUAUGUCUGAUACUUAGGACAGUGCCUAGCAUAUAUAGUGAUGGGCAGUAAAUAUUUCAAUGAAUGAAGAAAACCGGGAAAUCAGAAAGUUACCUCUUAUAUGCAUUGUGUGUCUGAAGUAACAGUAAGACACCCAAGCAGGUAGAAGAUGAGGCUAAAAUUCUGUAAAGACUUAAGGGCUUUGGGAUUUAUGACAUUUAAGGGGGAAGAUGCAACUAAACAGAAGAGGCAGCCCCAGAGACGGGAGAACACCAGGAGUAGGGUUUCAGGAUGGCAAAGACAGAGCCAGGAAGAAGGAGCGGCCAGUGUCACAAGCUACAGAAAAGCUAAAGAAAGCAAGGACUGGAAAAGAUCUUUGGAUUUAGAAUCUGAGAGGACAAGAAUGAUCUUGGAAAGAACAACCUACAUAGAACAAUUAAGUGAAAGUCAUGUUACAGAGGGUGUGAGGAAUGAGUUAAUGAGAUAAAUCACCCCUCCUCCCCACCUCCCAGAGCUAAAGGAAGAGAACUGGUAGUACAGUGAAUAAGAAUCCUCCUGCCAGUGCAGGGGAUGAGGGUUUGAUGCCUGGUCUGGGAGGAUUCCAAAAGACUCAGCGCACCUAAGCCCAUGCGCUCCAGCUACUGGAGCCUGCUCACUCUUGGGCCUGCAGCCACAACUACUAAGCCCAUAUGCUGCAUCUGUUGGAGUCCACUUGUGUGACAGAGCCUGUCCUCCACAACAAGAGAAGCCACCGCAGUGAGAAGCCUGUGUACCACACAAAAGAGUAGCUCUGGCUCAUUGCAACUAGAGAGAAUGCAACUAAAAAUAAAUAAAU